GGGCGUGUGGCGCAGUUGGUAGCGCGUUCGCUUCGCAUGCGAAAGGUCUCGGGUUCGACUCCUGACUCGUCCA
rnacentral:tRNA from 1 species